AUUCGCACACCGCGUAGCCCCCCCGGAACCCCUCGCGGGGGAUGGGGGAGCAAAAAACCAUUAAACGUUCUGACCUCGCUCAGUCUGAGCCACAUUUGGCGAAAUAAAUCAA
rnacentral:rRNA from 1 species